UGAUUAAUAGUUUUAUCUGUUAGAUUAGUUUGUUGUGUUGCGUUGUGGUGGUUUAUGUCUCGAACAAGUGAUUAAUUUUUCUUGUUGGGGUCACGAUUUUAGUCAAGUUUCAUUUAUUUGUUGUGUUUCAUGUUGUCUUGUGUUGGUUUGUGUCUCAAAGAAGUGAUCACAUAUUCUUGUUCGGGGCACAAGUAAUCUCAAAAGCAAUUUAUUUGUUCUGUAGGAUAAUGUCGUUUGAUUGAUUAUCUCUGUUUAUGUGUUUGAUUGAUCAUAUCUGUUAGAUUAGUUUGUUUUGAUUUGUUUCUCUGUUUCGGUGUUAAAGAGCGAUGGAGCAAGAGAGAGGAGCAACUGAGCAAUAGCGUGGAGCAAGAGAGCAGAGCAAGGUUCCUCAACGAAGAAGAGUACAAUUGCAUUAAAGGUACAACUUGUCUCUCUUUCAUUUCGAUUCUGCUGUAUUAUGGUUGAGGUUUGUUAUUAAUGGGUAAUAAAUAUGGUUAGAUAGAAAGCAAUGUUUAGCAUGAUUAAUGAGUUAGAUAAAUGUGAUCUCAUCUGUUUGGUUGGUUGUGUUGAAUGCUUGAGCUUUUGUGUUUAUUGUUGUUCUGUUGAUGUCUUGAGUUAGAUAAAUGUCGAAUCUGUUUCUGUCUAUAAAACACAAA
rnacentral:lncRNA from 1 species